rnacentral:rRNA from 1 species
GAUGAACGCUGGCGGUGUGCCUAAUACAUGCAAGUCGAACGGGCUCUUCGGAGCUAGUGGCGGACGGGUGAGUAACACGUUGGUACCUACCCCUAAGUGGGGAAUAACUGCCCGAAAGGGUGGCUAAUACCGCAUAAUCCCGCAAGGGUAAAGCAGUAAUGCGCUUAGGGAGGGGCCUGCGUCUGAUUAGCUAGUUGGUAGUGUAAUGGACUACCAAGGCUACGAUCAGUAGCUGGAUCGAGAGUUGACCAGCCACACUGGGACUGAGAUACGGCCCAGACUCCUACGGGAGGCAGCAGUGGGGAAUCUUGCGCAAUGGCCGAAAGGCUGACGCAGCGACGCCGCGUGAGGGAUGAAGGUCUUCGGAUCGUAAACCUCUGUUGCCCGGGACGAACAGCCCUUUUCGGAGGGUCUGAUGGUACCGGGUGAGGAAGCACCGGCUAACUCUGUGCCAGCCGCCGC